rnacentral:tRNA from 2 species
GCGAAAGUGGCGGAACUGGUAGACGCGCAGGGUUUAGGUCCCUGUGGGGUAAAACCCGUGAGAGUUCGAGUCUCUCCUUUCGCACCA